AAAGGAGACAGAAGCCUCAGGGCUCAAGGCUGAUCACCAAGAGAUGGAAGGGUGCGGAGACAGAUUCUGGAAAGGUCAGCCACAAAGAACACUGCCCAGAGCUGGAACCAGGGAGCCUGAGCUGGAUGCCAGGGACUAGAACUGCUGGUGACAGACUCUGCCAGCACCACCAGGCUCAGUAGCCAGAGCUUCAGGCUUAAUCUGCCUGAGUCAGCAAUGCAGGACUCAGACCCGUAUGCCAGGCGCAAGGCUCCCUGGACCCAGGCAAGGAGGAGGGUUCCUAAAUUAGAAUCGGAGUGCAAAGCUGGGGUCACACCUCAGAGCAAGGGUCAAGUGGGGAGCUGCUGCAGUCGGCGCGCCGGGGCGGCUCUGACAGGCUGGUGAGGAGCCGCCACCUUUGCCUCUGUUUACAGAAGGCAGACUGGAGACCUGUGACCCGGACACAUGGCUCAGUGGGGGAACCUCACUCCCGUGGGGCCCUCGGGGCAUGGAGCAGAGGCCCAUUUAGCUUCUUGCAGAGAGAGGGGGUGGGGGGCAGGGUGAAGGAGGAGAGCUGCAAGGGGCUGGGCUGGGGGACAGGCAAUUAAGGCUGCCUGAGCUGCCAGCAGAGCUGAUGCACGCCCUCCCCCUUGCGCUGCAGAGAGGGCCCCUUCCUUCAUUAGCUGCUAAGCUGCUCCCCAUCUCUAGCACCUCGGUGUGGCCUGGAGAGGCAGGGAUGGGCAACCAGCCUCAGGUGGCAUGGGAGCUGAUUAAUAAAAACACACAAAGAUGAAGGCUGUGCCCACUUCCACUCAGCCAGCUAUCUCAGAUAUCCAAGGCUCUUCCAGCCCCUUUUCUUGAAACGGUUUCCUUGCCUAGGGUCAGAAACAGGCUUGUGGACUCCAGCCCUUUGGCCAGAACCUGAGGCAUGGUGGGAGGGACAUUAGGAAAGGAGGGAAGCCCCAGAGGUUCCAGUUUGAAUUCCGUGACAAUGCAUAUCUGAUUGGUAGGGCGUGUUGGAGAAUUGAAGAUAAUUUUGAAAAACAGCUCAUAUUUUUGAGGGAUAUUCAGGUUCUCUUGUACCCCUCUGCAUAUAUCAUGGUUUAGUCAAUUAAGUACAAAUGAUAUUAAUAGAGCCCUAUGCCUGGGGUGCUGGUGCCCUGACAGGCUGCACCCUGGAAGGCAGGUGAAGCUGGGCAGGGUGCCCUUGAGUCCUAGAGCACAGGCACACUGGUUGACUUUGCAAAUGCUGGCCACUGCUCACUUGAAGAGGGUAAAAAGAAAUCUGGCACGAUCCAAGGAAGCCUGGAAGUUUCCAGAACAGGGGUGGUUGCUAGGUUCCUGUGGAAACUUUGGCUGCAGCCUAAACUUGAAGCUCCCCAUCUGUUGGAAGAUGGGGGACACUCUCUGGACUCUGGAUGGAUGGAUGGAAUCUGCCUGGAAUAUGAAGAUGGCUCUGUGUAUCUGUGCAGCCCCUGAGGGAGUGGGUGUGCGAGGCUGAGUGCCAAUUCCUCCCUCUGAGGCAGCUGCCUGCGUAAGGGUCCUGGCUCUAGUGGCUGGGCUGAUGCAUAAAGAACUGGGCCUUGUGGUCUCUGUUUGAGGUGCAGAGAAUCUCAGAGUGGGCAGAGAGCUUGGAGACACCUGGCUCUUCCUCUCCAUUUUAUAAACUGGGAACAUGGAUGCCUAGUAUGGAAAAUAACCUGAUGGUAAUCUAGGAAAGCUAAAUGCAGAGAAGAACCUUAUCCUGAGACUGAGGUCCUGAGAGAAGCUGGGAGCCCCCUAAAACAGAGUGCAAAAUUAUCACAAACGUGUGCAUUUUCCUGGAGAAUGGUUCUGGGGAGUGUCUACACAUCUGCAAGGUGCCCAACACCAGAGCUGGUUAGAAUGACUCACCUAACAGUGGAGCACGGGACGGAGGGGAAUGGAACCUGUUGCAUAAACCUUAACGCAGAGGAACUGUGUCUUCCUCCAAGGAUGGGUGGAUUCCACAGAGUCUGAUUCUGAAAGCUGAUAUCUAAACAGUUGUUAUGAAAAUACCAGAUCCCAGCAACUCAUCUCUAUUUCUCAUGGAACCGCCUUAGCAGGACCACUGCUCACUGAGCUAAAGAUAUUGAGGACUCCUCCUUGCCAAGGACCAGAACACAGUUGGAGGGCUGCAACGUUCGAGGUCUGGAUUUAGCGGCAGAGAUGGAGAUGGGGUUGCUGAGAGCACCUCCUCUAUCCUUUGUUUGGGGAUGGGGCUCUGGGCUGGAGUUCAAGGCUGUCCCAGGAGAGCCAAGCCCCAGCUAGUGACUGGUGUGUUUGCAAUUGUUUGUUCAGCAGCAGUCGCAAAUGGAUGCUAAAAGGCUUUGUGGUUCAUUGAUGGUCAUGCUCCUCUCCAUCCCAUUCUUCAUCCAUUUCUUGGGCGAGCCGCAAACUCUCCACUGGCAGCCCCUACCACUGCCCUCACUUGGCGCUGGGUCCUAAAUCCUGCCUGCUCACGGCCCUCUGCCUGCCAGCAAUCCUGAGGGUGGGUGCCCUUGCUCCAGGUCCCGUAUUUUGAAGACCCUUGGCAAGGCCAGGGCCUUGCUGGCCUUCUCCUCUGCUCCUGGCUUUCUGUCUGAGCUCAUAGAAACUGGGUGGUGGGUCCAUAUAGCAGCUGGUAUAGUCCAACAGAAUAAAUGGUUUAUUCAAGACAUCCACCAGGAGCUUAAUCACACAGAGAAAGGGGCCAUGGAGAGGAGUUGUUUGGAGCUCCAUUAUCAUUUUACUUGGGAUUUGUGGCCCCCCCAGUUUGGGGUCCAGUUGCUGAUUCUACUUCAAAGGCUGGAUGUGAAAUGACUGUGUGGGUGGAGAACAGGAACCCCCAUUUAAAAGCAAAAACAUAUUCUUCACAACUUGGCAUGGAGGCAGGGGAAAAGGAAACGAUGUCUUUUUGUUUGGUGGUGCCUUGAGAUAUUAUAUUAAUCUGUGCAUCUGCUGUGGCAUGGGUGAACCUUGAACAUUAUGCUCAGUGAAAGAAGCCAGCCACAAAGGACCACGUGUAGAAUGAAUCCAUUUAGAUGAAAUGUCAGAAUAAGCAAAUCCAUAGAGACAGAAAGUGGUUGCCAGGCACUGGGGGUAUGGGAGUACUGGGGAAUGAUGGCUAAGAGAUAUGGAGUUUUUUGGGGGGGGUGAUGUAAAUAUUCUAAACUUGACUCUAGUGAUGGUUGCACAGCUCUGUGAUUAUACUAGAAGUUGCUGAAUUAUACACUUUAAAUGGGUGAAUUGUAUGGUAUGCGAAGUAUGUUUCAAUAAAACUGUCAAAAAUAAGC
rnacentral:lncRNA from 1 species